rnacentral:lncRNA from 1 species
CAGAAUUUGGAUCAGCUAAUCGCAAAGUGUUUCCAGUAUACCCAUUUGCACCGAUUUAAUACCACUGUUUAAAGUGACAUCCUGAGACUAAAACGGAAGAGCAGUUUUAUUUUUAUGGAUAAAGAAAUAUUCCAAGUCAAUUUGUCUACUGUGACAAGAAAUAAAAGUCAAGAAAAGAUAUCGCAAUCACUUUUAAGGUUCUCUAGCUUUGAUUUUGACAGAGACGUUUACAGUUUUAUUUUACGGACAUAAUAGGAAGUUGUUCUUUUUGAUCUGGUUAUAAGAAACAGGUUCUCCUUCGUUUGGCAUUUGCUUCAAACGAUCUUCGUAUUGUUUGCCUUUGAUCUUUUUAAA